rnacentral:lncRNA from 1 species
AUCAGUCUUCCCACUGUGCCUCCUGCAAGCACAAGCAGGAUGAAAACAGGAUUCAGGAUGAAAAUAGGCCUGAUCUGGCUCAUUGAAUUGUGCUUGUGUGGGCUGGGACAGGAAUUGGAGGCUAGAGGCAGAGGAGUCGACAGAAGCAGCUUGUGGUAGCACUGCCGUUGAUGGAAAUAUCUGUGACUGGAGUCCUGGUUAUCAGCUGCAUGGGACAGUGUGUCAGCAUCAACUCCAUUUCCUGGUGCUCCAUGUGGCCAAAGAACAAACCUGAAGCAACUUCUCAAGGGCACGCAGCAACUGGUGGAAGAGCUCUGCAGUUGGAUGUCAGAUUUGUUUACCUUAGGCAUCUUCCAUCUUCGCCACCACUGCUGAAUCAGUCUUCCUUUAUGAAGCACGAUGUCCCCUUUGCAGUAGGCUGGAAAUGUGAGACGUGCUUAGGAGCAGUGCCUGGCCUGGGAAAAAGAAAUGCACCCCUCCCACCUAAGUACCACUGCAGUCCAGGUUUUAAUCUGAUAGAGCUGGGAAUGAAACUGUUCAGACUGCUAGAAGCUUGA